UAGAACUUGCUGUAUUCCAGUUUCUAUCCUGGUGCUUUAAUCACCACGCUAAACUAGCUCACAGUAAUUAGUUUAGACCAGUGUCUUUCAACUAUGGCGGCUUGAAGAGGUAUGGAUUUUAACUCUCACUCAGCAUGCUGACUGAAGAAUACUAAGAGUUGAAGUCCACACAUCUUAAAGCUGGCAAAGUUGAGGAACAUGGUUUAGGCAAAGAAAGAUGUUUGUUUGUAAGAGAUACUGACAGGCAUAAGGCAAACUCUUAUCAAGAGAGGUGCAGUAGAGAAUGUUUGACGUCUGAUAAUUUACUCUAUUUUGUGAUCACAUUUAAAAAGUUAGAAAACAUUUAAGAAUUGAUGGCAGAGAAACAUUGAGUAAGUUGAACAACAUAUGGAGGAUUUUUAAAAAAAAUCUUAAAAGAAGCUUUUCAUCCAUAAAAGCUUAUGCCAGCCAGGAUGGCCUAAAAUUUGUAGUCUCAACAAAUCCUGAGUUUACCAAAUUAGGAAGAGUAGUUUAUGGCACAAUAAACACAUUUAGAGGCAAGACAAGAAUCAAUGGAGUGCUUCAUUCAAAAGCUCAACUUUUCCCUCAUAUUACUUUCACUGAGCGGCUGAAAAAUUUCAUACCUCCCUACUCUAAUCCACUAACUGUUCACAACAGGUAUGAAAUCAUAGUUGACAGGUAUAAUUUUCUCCACAACAGUUUAAUCCACCAUUCAGGCAGUUAAGUAUUUUGCAUCUGCCUUGUUCAGAUGCCAGCAUCUAGCUGUCCUUUGUGAAUUAAAAAAUAAUAACAGGGAUGUGAUUUGAUGCUUGAAUGGGGGACCACCAGGAAUCCAUAAGACUGGAAAAUUAAAAAAAAAAGUAUCCUGGAAAAGAGCAGGGGCUAAUAACUCCCAUAUUUUUGCCAACAGAAUUAUGUCCAUGAAGUCAUCAGGAACAGAGCUCAGCCUCAAACAGUUCCUUUUACAAAUCUUGUUAAUAGAGGAUGGUGGGAAAGCAAUUAAUGGAAAAAAGUGUGUGUUUUUUUUAAAUUACCUCUCCUACUCUAUUGAUGUAUUAUUCUCCUUGUAUUCCUGUUUUGCCAUUGUUUAUUUUAUUGUUCUGUUAUUUCACUUCUGUUUACACUCCUUUCAUUUUUCUUCCUUUUUGUAGCCCAGAGACAACAUAGGCAGCAAUAAAUUUAACAAAUAAAUAAAUUGGCAGUAUGGAAACGUAAAACCUUUUACUGGAAACUUUUUUUCCCUCCUAAAGUCGACUGCUGAGGCAAGGUUGCCACAACAGAGUGGGUCAAGGCAACACAGCCUACAUUAAAGUAAUCCAGGUGGGUGCAGUAAGUGGAAAGCGAGGAGCAGGUGAAGGAAUACCGCUACCAACACUAAGACCGCCAUUCAUCCCGAACAGGUUUCAGUUUGCACUUCAAUCCGAUGGGGCGUUCGCUAUACUGUCGCUUUAAACGGCACCCAUGCAACCACAAAUCAGACCUGAGCACACUUCAGAAAGCGGAGCCCCAGUCAACGGCCCUCUUUUAUCUAACGCCGUGCAGAUUACUCCCAUAGACUGAUAACGGUAGCUGCCAAGCGAUUAGUUUCCGGAAGAUGAAACAAGAAGCCGGCUCUUUUCUACCCAGACUCUUGGAAAUAGGAAAAUAAGGAGGUCCCCUCGGCUUUAGCAAAGCAGAGCAAAGAGAGAAACACAAGCAGGAGAGGCGAGACUGCCCGGAACUGAAAAGCAGAGGCGAGCUAACGUGGAGAGCAGAAGGGGAACGGUCAUCGAGACGGGAAGGGGGCUCCAUAGUUGCGUAUCCUAUUUUUGAAUACUUCCUUCUAGAAAACGGACAACAAACUUCCCUGCAAGUAGGAAGUCAGCAAAACUACAUGAAAAUUCAGACUGAAAUUUCCUCUAGGACACCUGAUGUUCGAGCUUUCAUCCCCACAUCCAAAAGAAGCAUUUCAGAAAGCCUAUGGUUGAAACAGAGCACUUUGAAAGGCAGCCUCUCUUGAGAUCUGUGCACAGGAAUGAUGACAGGUAAAUACUGGCAAUGCUUAACCUAUUUUAUCUGCAACAUCAGAAGGCAAAGUCACAAUGGUAGGAUUUGACAAUUGCUGCAUAAAUUUUGCUGGGGAACUGCAAAAUGGAGCAAACUCCUAAAUUGGUGCUGAACAAUUUGGUGAAAUAGGUCAUGAACUGGCUUCUUGUUUCAGUUCAAAUUCACUUUAAGUAUGUUUCUUGGAGAUGACAUUUCCUUAUCCUGCAAUACAAUUAUAACAAUUUGUGUGACAGAAAUAUAUCUAGCAUUCUUACUACAAAGAAAAAAGCUGAAAGUAUUCUGUUGAACAUAUUUGGAAAGAUAUUUCUGAUCACCAUCUAGUGGACAAAAUGGAAUGUUUUUUUUUUUAAAAAAAAAACUUUAGAAAGAUUUCAAUAAUGCAUUCCUUGCUUUUCUCAAAAAAGAAACAAGCGUUGGUAAUGCAUUAAUAAGUAAUGAUUCUGACUUGUUCACCUAUAGUUUCGGGUGGUAGCUGAAGAAUUCAAUACCACACAAUAAUUAUAACUAUGAUAGCAGUGUUCCAAUAUCUCGGGCUGCCAUAAUGAAGAGGGAGUCAAGCUAUUCUCCAAAGCACCUGAAGGCAGGAUAAGAAGCAAUGGGUGGAAACCAACCAAA